UACGAAGGGGGCUAGCGUUGUUCGGAAUUACUGGGCGUAAAGGGCGCGUAGGCGGCUCUGCAAGUCAGGAGUGAAAUCCCCAGGCUUAACCUGGGAAUUGCUUUUGAGACUGCAGGGCUUGAGUACAGGAGAGGUGAGUGGAAUUCCCAGUGUAGAGGUGAAAUUCGUAGAUAUUAGGAAGAACACCGGUGGCGAAGGCGGCCCACUGGUCCGGUACUGACGCUGAGGUGCGAAAGCGUGGGGAGCAAACAGG
rnacentral:rRNA from 1 species